UAUAUGGCGUCAGCUGUUUGUCAAUUCUCUCGCUCUCACUCUCUCUCUCUCUGUGGGUCUUCCUCUUUCAAUCGCGCGCUCUGUUUCAGGCGAGCACACAUGCAGAAGCUGUCGGUUCUUUUCAUUGUUUACUUUGCCGGCUCAUUUAUGAGCAACAACUGGUCAACAUAAAUAUGAUUUGGCUUAAGCAAGUAAGGAUUGGGGCAUGACAGAAGCAAUUAAAAGCGUGCGACAAAAAAUAUAGAGAGUGAGAGCGCAUUUUGUCAGAGAGCUCUGAGCGUAACGUAUGGGCACGUAUGUGUGCUGUGUGCGUUUAAAAGCUAAAUUUAGUUAAAUGACAUAAUAAGCCUUUCGUUGAGUGUUUGCAUUUUAAGUUAAGUUUAGUGCUCAAUAAAAGGAUGCUAACGGAAAGGUUAAACAUGCGCUGUUGUUGCCUCAAUUAAGCUAACGUGCACAUAGCGAAAUAUGCAUAAUAAGAUAAGUUAUAAAAAUAUUCAUUUUAGAUAAGCAUUCAUUUAAAAUUCAUAUACAUAUUUCAAGGGUCACGCGGUGAUAGUGAAAUUGUUGGCAAUGUUUCAAUUUUCGCAGUUCGCAUUGUUGUUGAACGCUGCGAGUUGCUAAAAUAAAACGAAUUUAAACAACAACAAAAAUUAUCGACGUCAUUUUCAGACAUUUAAGUUUGCAAAGCUUAUAAGUGUUUCCGACUAGGCGAACAUUUUCAAUUUGCAUGCUGCACUCACGAUUUCAAAUUCUCAAGCUAAAACCAGCAAAACGUGAAUUUGAUAAACUCCCGCACAUACACAAACAUAUCAAUGAAGCCGAAACCAAACAAGAACCAACAGUUAAAGUUCUGGAAGGGUAUGCGUAUAAAGCAUGCGUUGUUUGUAAUAUUUCUGAUUUGUCGCCAAGCUGCACGCCUGCACUUCUUACUUGGACUUGUUUAAUCACUUUGUGAAAAAACGACAGUACAAUUAAUUUGGAUAAUGUGUAGAUUGUAUCACAAUAGUAUUUAACUGGAAGCACAACGUAUAUAGUUUAACAAUAAAUGUCUAAUUAACACCAA